rnacentral:tRNA from 1 species
GGGAGAUAGAUUAGUUGGUAAAUCAUUUGCCUUGUGAGCAUGAGUACCUGAGUUCUAUCCCCGGAUCUGCCA